UACGUAGGGUGCGAGCGUUAAUCGGAAUUACUGGGCGUAAAGCGUGCGCAGGCGGUUCGUUGUGUCGGCGGUGAAAGCCCCGGGCUUAACCUGGGAAUGGCGUUUGGGACUGGAAGGCUGGAGUACGGCAGAGGGAGGUGGAAUUCCACGUGUAGCAGUGAAAUGCGUAGAGAUGUGGAGGAACACCGAUGGCGAAGGCAGCCUCCUGGGCCAGUACUGACGCUCAUGCACGAAAGCGUGGGGAGCAAACAGG
rnacentral:rRNA from 1 species